GAUGAAGAACGCAGUGAAAUGCGAUAAGUAAUGUGAAUUGCAGAAUUCAGUGAAUCAUCGAAUCUUUGAACGCACAUUGCGCCCGCCAGUAUUCUGGCGGGCAUGCCUGUUCGAGCGUCAUUUCAACCAUCAAGCCCCAGGCUUGUGUUGGGGACCUGCGGCUGCCGCAGGCCCUGAAAACCAGUGGCGGGCUCGCUGUCACACCGGGCGUAGUAGAUUUUAUCUCGCUCAGGGCGUGCUGCGGGUUCCGGCCGUUAAAAAGCCUUUUUUACCCAAGGUUGACCUCGGAUCAGGUAGGAAGACCCGCUGAACUUAAGCAUAUUAAUAAGCGGAGGA
rnacentral:misc_RNA from 1 species